rfam:Arabis alpina cultivar Pajares chromosome 3, whole genome shotgun sequence.
AAAGUAGUGUGCAGCCAAGGAUGACUUGCCGAUCUAAAUAAUUUUUUCUUAAAACUCGACUAAGACAUUUUUUAGUUUCAAAUUCUUUGGUUCUUGAAGAAGAUUAAGAUAGAUAUUUUAUAUUCGAUAGUAUUUCGAAUUGAAAAGAAAAACAUAUGAUCGGCAAGUUGUCCUUGGCUACACGUUUCUUUGU